UGGCGGAAGUUUUCGGAUGGAAGCUGAUUUACUUAAUGGCGGACGGGUGAGUAACACGUGAGUAACCUGCCUCUCAGAGGGGGAUAACGUCUUGAAAAGGACGCUAAUACCGCAUAACAUCUCGUGACCGCAUGGUUGUGAGAUCAAAGGAGCAAUCCGCUGAGAGAUGGACUCGCGUCCGAUUAGCCAGUUGGCGGGGUAACGGCCCACCAAAGCAACGAUCGGUAGCCGGACUGAGAGGUUGAACGGCCACAUUGGGACUGAGACACGGCCCAGACUCCUACGGGAGGCAGCAGUGGGGGAUAUUGCACAAUGGGGGAAACCCUGAUGCAGCAACGCCGCGUGAAGGAUGAAGGUCUUCGGAUUGUAAACUUUUGUCCUAUGGGAAGAAGAAAGUGACGGUAC
rnacentral:rRNA from 1 species